CCCACGUGUUCCACUGGUCUGGAAUAACGUUUGGAGUCUGGCAGUCUGGUCCUGUUUGUGGCUCCAGAGGAUUUUUAGGAGCAUGGGGAGCAUGGGAUGCAUGGACAUAUGGACCCACAAAACCCUCUGGAGAAUACUGGCUGUGGAUAAAAGCAUCUGGAAGUUUCUACCAUCUCUUUACCCUGUUUUUUCCUGGGUCACCCUGUGUCAUUUGUGGCCCUCUACUGAGGAUUAUAGCAUACAGUCACUUACUGGAAUACCUCCCCAUGCAUCUUCUUGAAGUGGAGCCAUUGCUUUACCCAGCUGGGAGAUAUUUUCUCUUCUCCCAGAGCUUUUCCAGUGCAGCAGCACUCCUGUCCAGCAGGUCUCAGUUGACUGCAGAAAGGAGAAGGGAGGAGCGUGUCAAAGGGAGGUCACAUCCUGCCAGGGUUUCCUGGGAAAUGAGGUGUAUCCACUGUUUGGAUGAUGAAGCUUGGUGAACUGCAGUUUGGCUUGGAUUACAGUAUUUCAGAAGACUUUUUGAACUUGCCAGGCAGCCCUCCCCCUAGACUUUGGAGACAGAGGAGCUUAGAUUUAUAUUUCCAGUGUCACACAAGGAGAAAGGAGUUGGCUGCUUUGCCCAAGUAAUGAAAAUCAAUGCUGUGCUACUCUUGGGAGAAAGAAGAAAAGCCUGGCAUAUAGAUCUUGGUUUAGACAGAUUUUGCCUGGGAAGAGCGUGCCUGGGGGAAGAUACAGGAAGAAGGAGAAGAGGUGAUGCUACAAGCCAGCUUCCUGAUCCCCAGAGUGAGACUGAAGCUUUGA